UACGGGGGGGCAAGCGUUGUUCGGAAUUACUGGGCGUAAAGGGCUCGUAGGCGGCCAACUAAGUCGGAUGUGAAAUCCCCAAGCUUAACUUGGGAACUGCAUCCGAUACUGGAUGGCUUGAAUCCGGGAGAGGGAUGCAGAAUUCCAGGUGUAGCGGUGAAAUGCGUAGAUAUCUGGAGGAAUACCGGUGGCGAAGGCGGCAUCCUGGACCGGCAUUGACGCUGAGGAGCGAAAGCUAGGG
rnacentral:rRNA from 1 species